rnacentral:rRNA from 1 species
CCUACGGGGUGCAGCAGUGGGGGAUAUUGCACAAUGGAGGAAACUCUGAUGCAGCGACGCCGCGUGAGGGAAGACGGUCUUCGGAUUGUAAACCUCUGUCUUUGGGGAAGAAAAUGACGGUACCCAAAGAGGAAGCUCCGGCAGACUACGUGCCAGCAGCCGCGGUACUACGUAGGGAGCGAGCGUUGUCCGGAAUUACUGGGUGUAAAGGGAGCGUAGGCGGGCGAGAAAGUUGAAUGUUAAAUCUACCGGCUUAACUGGUAGCUGCGUUCAAAACUUCUUGUCUUGAGUGAAGUAGAGGCAGGCGGAAUUCCUAGUGUAGCGGUGAAAUGCGUAGAUAUUAGGAGGAACACCAGUGGCGAAGGCGGCCUGCUAGAACAUAACUGACGCUGAUGCGCGAAAGCGUGGGGAGCAAACAGGAUUAGAUACCCGGGUAGUC